rnacentral:rRNA from 1 species
UACGUAGGGGGCGAGCGUUGUCCGGAUUUAUUGGGCGUAAAGAGCUCGUAGGCGGUCUGUUGCGUCCGCUGUGAAAACUCGGGGCUUAACCCCGAGCCUGCAGUGGAUACGGGCAGACUAGAGGUAGGUAGGGGAGAAUGGGAUUCCCGGUGUAGCGGUGAAAUGCGCAGAUAUCGGGAGGAACACCGGUGGCGAAGGCGGUUCUCUGGGCCUUACCUGACGCUGAGGAGCGAAAGCGUGGGAGCGAACAGG